UUUAAUUCAUACAUCUUAUUUAAUUUCUGUUGUUUAUUUAUUUAUUUUUAUUUGAUGUUAAGAUUAAGGGGGAUUAGCUCCUUGUUCUGUUUUUAUAAUUUGUCUUUGGUUUAAUUUAGUUUUGUGGAUUUUAUGGUGAUUUUCUAUUUGAUUAUGUUAAAAUUUUAUUUGUUCUUUUUUUAAUUUUUUAUUAUUUAAGUUAUUUAUUGAAAUGUUUUCUUUACUUUAGUUUGUAUAGUAAUUAUUGUGUAAUUAGUAAAUUUUAUUGGUUGUUUUGUGAGAUGGUAGAGUGUUAAUUACUUUUGAGGAAUUCGGCAAAGUUUUAUGUCCGCCUGUUUAACAAAAACAUCUUUUCUUGUUAGUUUUUGAAGUAUGGCCUGCCCACUGACUUAGAGUUGAAGGGCCGCGGUAUUUUGACCGUGCAAAGGUAGCAUAAUCAUUAGUUCUUUAAUUGUGAUCUGGUAUGAAUGGCUUGACGAGACAUAAGCUGUCUUAGAAGUAUUGAUUUAUUGAAUUUGGUUUUUGAGUUAAAAUUCUUAAAUGUUUUUAUGGGACGAGAAGACCCUAUAGAGUUUGACAAUUUUCCUAUUUAUUCAUUGUUUGUUUAUUUACAUUGAGUGGGAGUGAAUUGUUUUGUUGGGGUGAUGGGAGGAAUAUUGUUUAACUCCUCUUUGUUUUUAUAUAUUUAU
rnacentral:rRNA from 1 species